GUAGGGAAUAUUGCGCAAUGGACGAAAGUCUGACGCAGCGACGCCGCGUGAGUGAUGAAGGCCUUAGGGUCGUAAAGCUCUGUUGAAUGGGAAGAAAAAAAUGACGGUACCAUUCGAGGAAGGAUCGGCUAACUUCGUGCCAGCAGCCGCGGUAAUACGAGGGGUCCUAGCGUUGUUCGGAAUCAUUGGGCGUAAAGGGUGUGUAGGUGGCCAUGUAAGUCAGGUGUGAAAGCCCCGGGCUCAACCCGGGAAGUGCACUUGAUACUGCGUGGCUUGAGUACCGAAGAGGGUAGUGGAAUUCCAGGUGUAGUGGUGAAAUACGUAGAUAUCUGGAGGAACACCGGUGGCGAAGGCGGCUACCUGGUCGAGUACUGACACUGAGACACGAAAGCAUGGGGAUCAAACAGGAUUAGAAACCCGUGUAGUCC
rnacentral:rRNA from 1 species